CUUACUGGUCACCAAUAUUAGUGGUGAAGAACAGCAAUUGUCAGAUUUCGAAGGUGAAGCUGUCGGACAAGAUGUAAAUGAUUUCCGAG